rnacentral:rRNA from 1 species
ACCAUGCAAGUCGAGCGGUAACAGAUCCAGCUUGCUGGAUGCUGACGAGCGGCGGACGGGUGAGUAAUGCAUAGGAAUCUGCCCGAUAGUGGGGGAUAACCUGGGGAAACCCAGGCUAAUACCGCAUACGUCCUACGGGAGAAAGGGGGCUCCGGCUCCCGCUAUGGGAUGAGCCUAUGUCGGAUUAGCUAGUUGGUGAGGUAACGGCUCACCAAGGCCACGAUCCGUAGCUGGUCUGAGAGGAUGAUCAGCCACAUCGGGACUGAGACACGGCCCGAACUCCUACGGGAGGCAGCAGUGGGGAAUAUUGGACAAUGGGGGAAAGCCUGAUCCAGCCAUGCCGCGUGUGUGAAGAAGGCCCUCGGGUUGUAAAGCACUUUCAGCGAGGAAGAACGCCUAGCGGUUAAUACCCGCUAGGAAAGACAUCACUCGCAGAAGAAGCACCGGCUAACUCCGUGCCAGCAGCCGCGGUAAUACGGAGGGUGCAAGCGUUAAUCGGAAUUACUGGGCGUAAAGCGCGCGUAGGUGGCUUGAUAAGCCGGUUGUGAAAGCCCCGGGCUCAACCUGGGAACGGCAUCCGGAACUGUCAAGCUAGAGUGCAGGAGAGGAAGGUAGAAUUCCCGGUGUAGCGGUGAAAUGCGUAGAGAUCGGGAGGAAUACCAGUGGCGAAGGCGGCCUUCUGGACUGACACUGACACUGAGGUGCGAAAGCGUGGGUAGCAAACAGGAUUAGAUACCCUGGUAGUCCACGCCGUAAACGAUGUCGACCAGCCGUUGGGUGCCUAGCGCACUUUGUGGCGA